rnacentral:rRNA from 1 species
UUCCAGACUCCUACGGGAGGCAGCAGUAAGGGAUAUUGGUCAAUGGGGGAAACCCUGAACCAGCAACGCCGCGUGAGGGAAGACGGUUUUCGGAUUGUAAACCUCUGUCCUCUGUGAAGAUGAUGACGGUAGCAGAGGAGGAAGCUCCGGCUAACUACGUGCCAGCAGCCGCGGUAAUACGUAGGGAGCAAGCGUUGUCCGGAAUUACUGGGCGUAAAGGGCGCGUAGGUGGGCGCUUAAGUCAGGUGUGAAAACUCCGGGCUCAACCUGGAGACUGCACUUGAAACUGGGUGUCUUGAGGGCAGGAGAGGAAAGUGGAAUUCCUAGUGUAGCGGUGAAAUGCGUAGAUAUUAGGAGGAACACCAGUGGCGAAGGCGACUUUCUGGACUGUACCUGACGCUGAGGCGCGAAAGCGUGGGUAGCGAACGGGAUUAGAUACCCCUGUA